CAGAGCUCACAGUAAAGGCUCGAUAAAAAGCUGUAACACUAGUAUUUAAAACACACAAGAGCAUGUUUUCAUCUCUGCUCUGAGGUGAGAGGGACAUUUUAGGAUAAAGUGUCAGAUUAUUGACUUCACUGUCAAAACUAAAAAAUUAUUUUUUGUCUCUAUUUGCUCCAUUUACUGUUGAGCCUUAUAUUUUACCAUUAUAUUUGACUCUUCCGUCUCCUGUCUGUGAUGUCACUUCCUCCCACAUACACAUAUUAAGCCUUGGCUCAUUUUCUUUCUUCUACUUGAAGCAAAAUGAUCCCAGGUGUCAGAGCUUCGACUCUCUUAAUACUUUGGGCUGCAGGAGUUUCUCAGUCCGUGUUGAUCACUCAGUGGCCUCGCUACAUCUCCAGUUUGCCCAACGACUCAGUAGAAAUGCAAUGUUACCAGAACGACACAGACUUUGAAUAUCUGUACUGGUACAGGCAGCUCAGAGGACGAGGCCUCCAGUUCAUUGGGUAUAUCAUAGCUGGCAACCCAACUUUGGAAGAAGAAUUCAAAUCAGGUUUUAAGGCAGCGAGAUCGGAGACGAAGCGCUGGUCUCUGACAAUAAGCAGCGUUCAGCAGAAGGAUGAGGCUGUUUAUCUGUGCGCUGCCAGUCCACACAGUGCUGUGACAGAGCACAGGCCUGUGACAAAAACACCAGCAGAGACGCUGCUAGAAGCUCCCACACCUGAUACUAAACCACAGUUUGAAGAUGUGUGAUCUGUUGAUAACAGACUACAUGUCAUCUAAAUCAGUAAAGGUGGGGAAAGAAGAAGGUGCAAGCAAAGUGUAUAAGUUUUGACUAACAGUUAAAUGUUUUUUUAAAAAUUACUUUCUAAUAAGCAUCCACUAGUCCAAGUGUAAAUGCAUUGACUAAAUCGGCCAACAGGUGGGGUAAGACAAAAACAAAAAAAACUGUAUAUAUGUCCUAAUGAAACCUCAAACCUAAUGAAACAACGGAAGAAAGUGGAGAAGACUAAAAAAAUAGUCUAUAAAAGAUACAAAGGCUUCUGAACAAAGAUGGUGAUGACGUACAGCAACUUCAGCUGAGGGAAGAAGACAGACAAGAGGAGAUCUGAUUAUACAGAACACCAUCAGUACAUGGUGACGUGGUCCAACACCACUCCCCCACUAAAACCCUCGUCUUGUUCCUGUACAUGAAAUGAAGGUGUUCACACAUGAGGAGUCUCUUUCUCCUGCAGCUGCACAAACCUGAGAUGCAUCUAGUUCUGAUUGCA